CCAACCCCAUAAGUGUUGCAAGUGUGACCGUGUCACCUGUGCAUCAGUAAGCGGCUGAGGGGAGAGAGGCUAUGUCUAUGCUCAAUGUUCUGACCUAUGAACAUGAUUAGUAGCCUAACAUU
rnacentral:snoRNA from 1 species